rnacentral:lncRNA from 1 species
CCAAACACAUGGCCCUUCCAACGUUGCACCCCCACCUGCCCUCUGUCUCCACCCUUCGCUCCACUCAACCGGUAGGUGGCUCCCAGAAUCACUCACCGAGAUAAGCACUGGAGCCUCAAACCUCCCAUGCCCCCGGGGCUCCAGACAAUAGCCCAGAAGUGUACUUCCUUAGAUUUGGGGUGAGGUGAGCUUGCGUUGGGGGA